rnacentral:tRNA from 2 species
GGGCCGGUAGCUCAGCCUGGAAGAGCGCUCGGUUUGCACCCGAGAGGACCCGGGUUCAAAUCCCGGCCGGUCCACCA